GGAUGAUGGAGACAGAGCGACUUGUGCUACCCCCUCCAGAUCCCCUGGACCUACCCCUUCGGGCCGUGGAGCUCGGAUGCACGGGGCACUGGGAGCUGCUGAACUUGCCUGGAGCUCCAGAGAGUAGCGUGAGUGACUUUUGACCCUAACCUUUGACCCGCAUUGAGUCCAAACCUCCUUCACCCUCCUCACAGUAGGAUCUAGCUUAACCUUGUUCAUCUGUGCCUGUACUCCUGUCCAUCCCAGCCUGAAGGGGUGCUGGACAGAUUACAGCCCAGUGUACCUGCAGUACAUGUGAGGACAGAGCAGAAAGGGCUGGGGAUAUUUUUGCUUUGAGAGCUGCUCUUUCAAAUGUGGCAUUUCUCCGUGGAGCUCCCUUCUGUAUCCAAGCACCAGGGCACUUGGUGACUGAGAUGAUAGGCUUUGAGCCUCCAACCUUUCAUCCUUAGGUCUGGGACCCCUUUUUCUAAAAUCAGUGAGUCUCCAAUUUCAGUGUGCUUCAUGAUUAGCCAGGGAGCUUUUUAAAAAUGCACAUUCCUAGGUCCAGCCUCCAUGUUUCUGAAAUCCAAAAUCUGCCCCAGGUAAUUCAGUAGCAGGUAGUUUUUGGCCAAGCCUGAUUGUCCUAGUCUGUUUGACACAUCUGCCAUUUCUGAUCUGAACACAAGUCCCAUCAUCUCUUUUGUCUG
rnacentral:lncRNA from 10 species